rnacentral:rRNA from 1 species
AACGAACGCUGGCGGCGUGCCUAACACAUGCAAGUCGUGCGAGAAAGGUUCCUUCGGGAGCGAGUAAAGCGGCGCACGGGUGAGUAACACGUAGGUAACCUGCCCCCCAGUCUGGAACAACUAGAGGAAACUCUAGCUAAUGCCGGAUGAGACCACGAUCCCUUCGGGGGGUUGCGGCCAAAGAUGGCCUCUACUUGUAAGCUAUCGCUGAGGGAUGGGCCUGCGGGCCAUUAGCUUGUUGGUGAGGUAACGGCUCACCAAGGCUGUGAUGGCUAGCUGGUCUGAGAGGAUGACCAGCCACACUGGGACUGAGACACGGCCCAGACUCCUACGGGAGGCAGCAGUGGGAAUAUUGCGCAAUGGGCGAAAGCCUGACGCAGCGACGCCGCGUGGGUGAUGAAGGCCUUCGGGUCGUAAAGCCCUGUCGCAGGGGAAGAAUAAGCAUCGGUAUAAUACGCCGGUGCCCUGACGGUACCCUGCAAGAAAGCACCGGCUAACUCCGUG